rnacentral:rRNA from 1 species
GAUGAACGCUGGCGGCGUGCCUAAUACAUGCAAGUCGAGCGACGCGCGGACGGGUGAGUAUCACGUCUAUAACCUCCUAUAAGACUGGGAUAACUUCGGGAAACCGGUGCUUAACCGGAUACUUUUACAUGGUUCCGCGCUGCAUUAGCUAGUUGGUAAGGUAACGGCUUACCAAGGCAACGAUGCAUAGCGGACCUGAGAGGGUGAUCGGCCACACUGGAACUGAGACACGGUCCAGACUCCUACGGGAGGCAGCAGUAGGGAAUCUUCCGCAAUGGGCGAAAGCCUGACGGAGCAACGCCGCGUGAGUGAUGAAGGUCUUCGGAUCGUAAAACUCUGUUAGUAGGGAAGCGGUACCUAAUCAGAAAGCCACGGCUAACUACGUGCCAGCAGCCGCGGUAAUAC